UUUAUUAUCACAAGUUGCAUAAAAACAGACAGCCUUUACAAAAAUGGUUUUUGAUAGAAAAAUAUUUGAAUCCAUGUGAUAUUUGUAGGAACGCCACACUAUUGCUGUACCUCCAGCUAAAGCUUCAAAGAAACUGUGUUUCUCAUCAAAAUAGCCAAUAUUUACCACAACUAUCUUUGGAGAAAAGUUCAUACAUAGUGUUUUUUGAACAAACCGAAGCGUUUACUCCCUGAGGCUGCGUCCCAGGCCUGGUGGGCACUGUACGUGUGUCCAGCACAGGGACCCGCUGUGGUAGCUGCCGGCCGCCUGCGGGGAGGGCCCGGCAGACCAUGUAGGCACCCCUCCCUCCAGAGGCCCCGCAGUGUCUGUAGUUAGGGCAUCACAACCACAGAGACUGAAAGGAGAAGUUAAUGAUUUUCCUCACAUCAUCCUCUGCAGAGAACCUGACUUCUGGUGACUGGGAUGAGGGAGGGAGGAUUAGACGCCACCAAAUAGUGUGAAAACUCGCUGACCAGGGCACACGGGCCGAGCACAGGCUCUGAGUGCUCAGACCGGGUCUGCUCCCCGGCCUCUGAGGUGACAGUUCAGCUGCCACUGGGUCUGCGGUCCUGCACUGACCGCCUGCGACAGGUGACUGUCACCUGAGAGCACGGGGGGCUUCUCUUUGACAGACUCCAUGACGAUUCAGAAGGUGAAAGGGCUGCUGUCCCGCCUCCUCAAGGUCCCUGUGUCGGACCUGCUGCUGGCCUACGAGAGCCCCAAGAUGCCGGGCAGAGAGAUUGAACUAGAAAAUGACCAGCAGUCCUUACAGUUCUACUCUGUGGAGAAUGGAGACUGCCUGCUGGUGCGAUGGUGACAGCAGCUCACACAGCUCAGAGACGACUGUGGUUCCGGGCCCACCGGCAAGAAAUGACCUGCGGGAGCAGUUCUCUCAGAGGCUGUACUUUCUUUAGGGAAGAGACUGUUUCUAGGCUUGUACAUAAUAGCGACAAUAAAGGCUUUGUACCAACUAA